rnacentral:rRNA from 1 species
GACGAACGCUGGCGACGUGCCUAAUGCAUGCAAGUCGCACGCGGGGAGCUUGCUCCGCCGCGUGGCGCACGGCUGAGGACCACGUGGGUACCAACCCCGGAGUGGGGGAUACCUCGUCGAAAGACGAGACAAUCCCGCAUACGAUCGGCAACGAUGAAAGCGGCACGGCGCUCUGGGACGGGCCUGCGGCCCAUCAGGUAGUUGGUGAGGGAAUGGCUCACCAAGCCUAUAACGGGGCCCUGGUCUGAGAGGACGACCAGGCAGACUGGGACUGAGACACGGCCCAGACUCCUACGGGAGGCAGCAGCAAGGAAUUUUCCCCAAUGGCCGCAAGGCUGUGGGAGCAACGUCGCGUGCAGGACGACGGCCUUCAGGUUGUAAACUGCUUUUGGGGGGGAAGAUACUGACGGUACCCCCUGAAUAAGCCCCGGCUAACUCCGUGCCAGCCGCCGCCGUAA